rnacentral:rRNA from 10 species
NCACCCUGAACGUGCCCCAUCUCGUCUGAUCUCGGAAGGUAAGCAGGGUAGCACCUAGUUAGUCUUUGGAUGGGAGACCACUUGGGAAUAUCGGG